UUAAAAUAGUAUUUUAGAGCCAGGGUUCCGGAUAUCUUUUUUUUUUUGUUUUUCUUAACUAAGUGUUCCUGCUUUUUUCUUUACUUUUUACUAUUUAGCUGACGAGUCCCACCUGCGAAACUUGAUUUUUUACUUUAUCUCAUUAAAAUUACAACUUUACACUGAAGGCUGUUUGAAUAUCAGUGUUUCAUAUGACUCUUCAAUCUCAUGGCAAAAAAGAAAACUGACUAACAGUUUCUCAUCAAUUAUUUUAGCAGAUUAAUUGUAGCAACUAAAAUACCGGACUGGCGUUUUUACAGUUAUAAAGUAAAAGUAAAACAACGAACUAAGCGUACUGAAUAAUAUCAAUGUAGUAGUUACCAGAGAACGUGUUUGUAACAUUAUGAAAAACUUAAAUAUGAAAGAAAUAUUUUUUAAAGAAAUAAUAAUUAAAAAGAGAAAUAAUCAAACUAUUAUUGAAUCACAAAAUCCGAGCAAACUAUUGUUGUUGGUUUUAACUAAAAUUUUCCAAAUGAACCCUGAAAUAGGCGUGACUUUUCUUUGCAAGGAGCAAAGAGCAAGGUCGAUUAAUAAUGUAUUAAAAUGGUUCCGGAUAUUUUAAGAAAUUUUCUAUUACGAACGAAAUUCUUUUUCAUAUUUUAAGAAGCCGAUUAACGAAUAUCGUCAUAAAUUAAUAAAACUAUUACUAAUGAUCUAGUACUUAAAUGACGUUUACAUAGGUUGUUAAAAGUCCGGGAAGAAAGAAAUGUUCGUGAAGGGAAACAUGUUUUCUUUUAAGUCUCUGAUCCUUGCGGACGUCAGACGGCAGUCUCUCUGCGUCAUCUGCAUCAACAACACUACUCUUUUUUGCAUCAUGGGUAAAAACAUCUCCGAAUAAAAUAAAGGAAUUAAUCAUUUAGCUACCAGGAUUUCAUGGAUACGCAAGAGGUUUAAUUUAUCUACUUAAAAAUAAAUGAAAACGGGCCCCUAAUUUACCAAAACGAGAAGGCAAGACUAGAUAGAGUACUUGUCUCUCGUUCUUAAAUUCGACUAAUUCAAGGUCAAUAUUCAAAUUUGAGAGUGUGUGUGUGCGCAGUCAAUGGGUUCACUGUCUAGUACACUAAGCGCCGCCCAAUGGCGCUACGCCGCGAGACAGGUGAUGUACACGUAUCCUUUCUUCCGCUUUAGGGUAAGUGAGGGUAAAAUGAUGAUCCCACCUGAUUAUUUACGUUUGUGAUUAGUAAACUUUUACUUUGUUUAAUUUUAUCGCCACAUUCAUAAAAAAGUUGUCAACAUUUAGUCAACCUAGGAAACACGUUUUGUACAUGCCACUUUUUCCUAUUGGUAAGAGUGGUAGUAAGUAUGGUAAAAUUUUGAAAUCAAAUAAUACUGUUUUUAACCCGUUUAUUAUGGUAAAAUUAAUAAGAUAUUGAAUCAAAGGGACAAAACAUAUUUGUACUAAAAUAAUUUUAUUUCACCUUUGUUUACAAAAAUAGCCGGUUAACGUGACCGUGGUCGACUUUGCCCGUGUCUCCCCUGUACUAGGAUGCCAGAAUCGGGAAGCGGAAAUGUACAAUUAUUUGAGAAGUCAAUCAGUCGUUCGCUAUCCGUUUGCGUGACAACCAGUGCUGCCAUUUUAACGCUUUGGGCGCUAGAUCUAGCGCUUUUUUAUGUGUUUGGUGCGCUUUACAGAAUUAUGGCACCUAGCGGAUAAUCUGGUGUUUUUUUUAAUUUACAUCAUGACAUAUUAAAAAACUCUAUGGCUCUAUCAGCAUCAGUUAUUUUAAAGCCUAAUAGAGUGUUUUUUUGUUUGUUUGCUUUAUUUCAUUCAAGAAAAAUUGUUCUUUUAGCGCGAUAUCUAGCGCUUUUUUAAAGCACAAUUUCCAAGAAAUCGAGCGCUUUUUUACAUCUUACAGCGCUCAAUCGGAUUUUUGGUCUGGCAGCACUGGUGACAACAUUGUUUGUGUUUUGACUUUUUCGUACACGUGUUCUCUUUCGUGAUUUCUUUGAGUAAUUCAGAAUAUUAUUACGACUACAAUGAACAUUAUUGGUCGCAUACCUAGCUACCAAUCCACAUGUUUUUACGGAGUCAUCUUUCCAGUACCAGUGGCGGAUAAAUGUGUUGGCUGGAUGCUGGAAUAGUCGGAGAUGUUGUCGUUGAACCAUAUUUUUUGCCUAACAGCCUAAAUUUCCUAGAAAAUUACUUAAAUGAGGAACAGUAAUGCCAGUGAGAAGUUACGUGGAUAUCGUGAUGGAAAACAACCUAAUAUUCCAACAUGGUGGCGCUCCAGCUCACUUCGCUCGUGAUGAGCGCAGCCACCUCAAUGCCCGGUUCCCGGAAUGGAUUGGACGAGGAGGACGUAUCGCAUUGCCUCCGCGGUCUCCAGAACUCACACCACUUGACUUUUUUUCUGGGGAUACAUUAAAAAUAAAGUGUAUGCGUCGGAUUCCCCUUCGAGCGAAGAAAUGGUUGCCCGCAUCAAACCGCAUGCGAUACUGUAACGCCAGGAAUGCUUCGCAAUGUCUGGGUUUCCAUUUACCGGAGAGCUGACUUGUGCAUCCAAGAAGGAGGUCGACGUUUUGAACCCUUUCUUUGAAAGAAUCUUCGUCAAACGUUCGCCGCCUUGCCGCGAUCUCUUUGACGGCGCCGACAAAGCGGCUACCUACGACUUAGGUCGCCGACGGUACCAGGAGAAAAUGACGAGUGAGGAGUUAGUGUUUUAGUGUACAUCGAUAGUGUCUUAGUGUGUGUGUUGUUUUGAAUUGGGGAUGUUGACCCAAUAGUGAUUUGCCACGUUUGUUUACAUUUAAAUAAAUACAUUUUAUUGCGAAA